UACGUAGGGAGCAAGCGUUGUCCGGAAUCAUUGGGCGUAAAGCGCGCGUAGGUGGCUUCAUAAGUCCGUUGUGAAAGUCAAAGGCUCAACCUUUGAAAGCCGAUGGAUACUGUGAAGCUAGAGUACGGAAGAGGCGAGUGGAAUUCCUGGUGUAGCGGUGGAAUGCGCAGAUAUCAGGAGGAACACCGAUGGCGAAGGCAGGUCUCUGGGCAUUAACUGACGCUGAGGAGCGAAAGCAUGGGGAGCGAACAGG
rnacentral:rRNA from 1 species